rnacentral:rRNA from 1 species
GAUGAACGCUGGCGGCGUGCUUAACACAUGCAAGUCGAACGAUGAAGCCCAGCUUGCUGGGUGUAUUAGUGGCGAACGGGUGAGUACACGUGAGUAACCUGCCCUUAACUCUGGGAUAAGCCUGGGAAACUGGGUCUAAUACCGGAUAGGAGCGUCCACCGCAUGGUGGGUGUUGGAAAGAUUUAUCGGUUUUGGAUGGACUCGCGGCCUAUCAGCUUGUUGGUGAGGUAAUGGCUCACCAAGGCGACGACGGGUAGCCGGCCUGAGAGGGUGACCGGCCACACUGGGACUGAGACACGGCCCAGACUCCUACGGGAGGCAGCAGUGGGGAAUAUUGCACAAUGGGCGCAAGCCUGAUGCAGCGACGCCGCGUGAGGGAUGACGGCCUUCGGGUUGUAAACCUCUUUCAGUAGGGAAGAAGCGAAAGUGACGGUACCUGCAGAAGAAGCACCGGCUAACUACGUG